rnacentral:rRNA from 2 species
UUCCGGUUGAUCCUGCCGGACCUGACUGCUAUCGGAUUGAUACUAAGCCAUGCGAGUCAUUGUAGCAAUACAAGGCAGACGGCUCAGUAACGCGUAGUCAAUCUACCCUAUGGACGGGAAUAACCUCGGGAAACUGAGAAUAAUGCCCGAUAGAACAUUAUGCCUGGAAUGGUUUAUGUUUCAAAUGAUUUAUCGCCAUAGGAUGGGACUGCGGCCUAUCAGUUUGUUGGUUAGGUAAUGGCCCACCAAGACUAUUACAGGUACGGGCUCUGAGAGGAGUAGCCCGGAGAUGGGUACUGAGACACGGACCCAGGCCCUAUGGGGCGCAGCAGGCGAGAAAACUUUGCAAUGUGCGAAAGCACGACAAGGUUAAUCCGAGUGGUUUCUGCUAAAGAAACCUUUUGUCAGUCCUAGAAACACUAACGAAUAGGGGGUGGGCAAGUUCUGGUGUCAGCCGCCGCGGUAAAACCAGCACCUCAAGUGGUCAGGAUGAUUAUUGGGCCUAAAGCAUCCGUAGCUCGUUUUGUAAGUUUUCGGUUAAAUCCAUGCGCUUAACGUAUGGGCUGCCGGGAAUACUGCAUAACUAGGAAGUGGGAGAGGUAGACGGUACUCGGGAGGAAGGGGUAAAAUCCUUUGAUCUCUUGAUGACCACCUGUGGCGAAGGCGGUCUACCAGAACACGUUCGACGGUGAGGGAUGAAAGCUGGGGGAGCAAACCGGAUUAGAUACCCGGGUAGUCCCAGCUGUAAACUAUGCAAACUCAGUGAUGCAUUGGCUUAUGGCCAAUGCAGUGCUGCAGGGAAGCCGUUAAGUUUGCCGCCUGGGAAGUACGUACGCAAGUAUGAAACUUAAAGGAAUUGGCGGGGGAGCACCACAA